rnacentral:rRNA from 1 species
UGGGGAAUAUUGCACAAUGGGCGCAAGCCUGAUGCAGCCAUGCCGCGUGUGUGAAGAAGGCCUUCGGGUUGUAAAGCACUUUCAGCGAGGAGGAAGGGUUCAGUGUUAAUAGCACUGUUCAUUGACGUUACUCGCAGAAGAAGCACCGGCUAACUCCGUGCCAGCAGCCGCGGUAAUACGGAGGGUGCAAGCGUUAAUCGGAAUUACUGGGCGUAAAGCGCACGCAGGCGGUUUGUUAAGUCAGAUGUGAAAUCCCCGCGCUUAACGUGGGAACUGCAUUUGAAACUGGCAAGCUAGAGUCUUGUAGAGGGGGGUAGAAUUCCAGGUGUAGCGGUGAAAUGCGUAGAGAUCUGGAGGAAUACCGGUGGCGAAGGCGGCCCCCCUGGACAA